UAUUAAAAUUUUCAUCCAUUUGUACUGUUAAAAACUGGUGUAACUGACAAUAUAACCAGAUAAUGACAUGUGAUGUGUCACGUAUAUCUCAUGCUAACAUAUAUGGACCAGUUUUUAUCAGUAAAAACGAUGAAAAUUUUAACA
rfam:Gossypium hirsutum cultivar TM-1 unplaced genomic scaffold scaffold3201.1, whole genome shotgun sequence